UAGAGUAAAAAGAAGAGCGUAUCCCAUGCCCUCCCCACUGCAGCUGCUUCCCAGAGGUAACCUCGGGUCAGAGCGUGAUCCUCUGCGGUUCUCUCCAGUCCUUGCUUUUACAUGCAAACGCACAGACUGCAAGUGAAUUCUCACGGGCUUUUCAAAAGAAUGUUUCAGCCACACAGCGCAGGCACACACUGGGAGGCUAGCGGUAAGUCCCCAGAGGCUUCCGGAGUCCCCUUGCAGUGAACAGCCAGAGCCACCCAAUGCCGUGUGCAAAUCUGAAACCCCAGCUGGGGCAUGAAGUCAGCCUAAACACACAGCUCACGCCCAAAUUAGCAUUGCACGGUUAGAGAGAUUUGCCAGUGCGUUUGACACAGGGUUAUGACCUUCCCGUUCCUCCUGAAAACAAGCUGUUUUGGAUUAUGAUACGAUGAGAAUUCGGAUUUGCACAAUGAAAAGCUCAACUCCAGUAUCUCUUCUUUAGGGAAUGGCUCUCCCAGCACCCCAUGCUUUUCCUGACAAACCCUGAUCUCACUCCGUGGUUUUGUGUCCUCUAGGAUGACCUUUCCGUAAGUGUCUGUGCGGAGCCGCGUACGCAGCGAUCCGAUGGGCAUCCAGCGCAGACUACGUGGUAUCCAGUGAUGCCUUACUGGGUCUUUGUGGGGCAUUUGGAGCGACUAAGGCUUGGUGGCCAGAUGUCCCUUAAUAAUAGGUGGUUAAGCAAACUGGGACACAUCCAUGCCACGGAGUGGUACCCAAGAACGAGAAGGAGCCAACCGCUGAGACCUGUAUCAGAUUGGAGGCACCUCCAGGAAAUGAUGCUGGGUGCAGAAGAUCAAACCAAGAAGGAAUUUAAGUGUCUUGAGAAUCUCUGCCCAUGAUGAAGCUGUUCGAGUCUUGCAGUGUAGGAUGUGUUGAGAGCUCCAAAAUAUAUUUUCGAAGACUUGGGAGAGGAGAUCGAACAUAAAUGAGAAGCAUUCAAAGCUUACGCAAAAAAGUUGAUAAACCUUCAAUAUGCAUUUUUCUUAGAAUUUAGAAGGAUGCUUUGGAACAUGUCAAAAAAAGAAGUGAGAAAACACAGACUCCUAAUUUGGAUGAAAAUGAACCUAUUGUGUCGUCUUUAAAUUUAUUAAAGAACUGAGAGCAGCAUAA